rnacentral:lncRNA from 1 species
UGUAUAAAUCCAUAGUAUUGUUUGACAUCCAUGGUUAAUAUCAAGAUCUCUUGCUCACUUUGAAUUUUACAAUAUUCUUAAUUAACUCUAUUUUCUUUUGAUCUUUAAAUCUAGGCUAUGUUUGGUUGAAAUGAAAUAAGGUAGAGAAAAAGAUUGUGAGAGAAAGAAAAGAGAGAGGGAGAGAAGUAGAAGAAAGAAAUAGGGGAUAUAUCGAUCGGAAGGUCGGUGAUGAUGGUCCAAUUGUGACCAAAAGGCCAUG